rnacentral:rRNA from 1 species
UUGCCGCAGGCCUCCUGGGGUAACCUACCACCCUUUGUUUAUUACACUUUGUUGCUUUGGCAAGCCUGCCCUCGGGCUGCUGGCUCCGGCCGGCGAGCGCUUGCCAGAGGACCUAAACUCUGUUUGUCUAUACUGUCUGAGUACUAUAUAAUAGUUAAAACUUUCAACAACGGAUCUCUUGGUUCUGGCAUCGAUGAAGAACGCAGCGAAAUGCGAUAAGUAAUGUGAAUUGCAGAAUUCAGUGAAUCAUCGAAUCUUUGAACGCACAUUGCGCCCCCUGGUAUUCCGGGGGGCAUGCCUGUCCGAGCGUCAUUACAACCCUCAAGCUCAGCUUGGUAUUGGGCCCCGCCGACCCGGCGGGCCCUAAAGUCAGUGGCGGUGCCGUCCGGCUCCGAGCGUAGUAAUUCUUCUCGCUCUGGAGGUCCGGUCGUGUGCUCGCCAGCAACCCCCAAUUUUUUUCAGGUUGACCUCGGAUCAGGUAGGGAUACCCGCUGAACUUAAGCAUAUCAAUAAGCGGAGGAAA